UAACGUAGGGUGCAAGCCGUUAAUCGGAAUUACUGGGCGUAAAGCGUGCGCAGGCGGCUUUGCAAGACAGAUGUGAAAUCCCCGGGCUCAACCUGGGAACUGCAUUUGUGACUGCAAGGCUGGAGUACGGCAGAGGGGGAUGGAAUCCGCGUGUAGCAGUGAAAUGCGUAGAUAUGCGGAGGAACACCGAUGGCGAAGGCAAUCCCCUGGACCUGUACUGACGCUCAUGCACGAAAGCG
rnacentral:rRNA from 1 species